CAUACACAGCACAGCACCGGAGAGCCCCGGUUUCCGUGCGUUGCUGCACCGUAAUGGCGAAAAAGGUCAAGAAUCCGGCCUGCCUUUGCGCUGUUUUGUUUUCUCAAACAGCAUACAAUGCCGGAGUGAGGCCGGGAAUUGCAGUGACCAUCCCAAAACGCUGCAACAUUGCUGAUCGCCCUGUUGGUUACAAGUGUGGAGCUUUCACUCUGCUUUGACUCUGAAGAUUCCCCAUUGCUAGAUUCUAUGCAACGUCCAACCGUUUAUGUUAAAUAAAAUCUGCACUUGUUUGUUUCAAUAAUAAGUAAAAUGUGCAGUUGUUUCUUUGAAUAAUAAUAAAUUAAAGGUUACUCUUCUUUGCAAA